rnacentral:tRNA from 1 species
GCGAGGGUGGCGGAACUGGCAGACGCGCAUGACUUAGGAUCAUGUACCUUACGGUAUGCGGGUUCGACUCCCGCCUCUCGCA